rnacentral:rRNA from 1 species
UACGGGGGGGGGCAAGCGUUGUUCGGAAUUACUGGGCGUAAAGGGCUCGUAGGUGGCCAACUAAGUCAGACGUGAAAUCCCCUCGGCUUAACCGGGGGAACUGCGUCUGAUACUGGAUGGCUUGAGUUCGGGAGAGGGAGUGCGGAAUUCCAGGUGUAGCGGUGAAAUGCGUAGAUAUCUGGAGGAACACCGGUGGCGAAGGCGGCAUCCUGGACCGACACUGACACUGAGGAGCGAAAGCCAGGGGAGCAAACGGG